GACGAACGCUGGCGGCGUGCUUAACACAUGCAAGUCGAACGCUGAAGCUCAGCUUUUGUUGGGUGGAUGAGUGGCGAACGGGUGAGUAACACGUGAGUAACCUGCCUCCUUCUUUGGGAUAACGCCCGGAAACGGGUGCUAAUACUGGAUAUUCACUGGUCUUCGCAUGGGGGUUGGUGGAAAGGGUUUUUCUGGUGGGGGAUGGGCUCGCGGCCUACCAGCUUGUUGGUGGGGUGAUGGCCUACCAAGGCUUUGACGGGUAGCCGGCCUGAGAGGGUGACCGGUCACAUUGGGACUGAGAUACGGCCCAGACUCCUACGGGAGGCAGCAGUGGGGAAUAUUGCACAAUGGGCGCAAGCCUGAUGCAGCGACGCCGCGUGAGGGAUGGAGGCCUUCGGGUUGUGAACCUCUUUCGCUCAUGGUCAAGCCGCAACAAUGGUUGUGGUGAGGGUAGUGGGUAAAGAAGCGCCGGCUAACUACGUG
rnacentral:rRNA from 1 species